AUUUUCAUUCCCGGAUAAAAUUAUUAUAAAUUUUCAGACGAGUUCAGUCGCUAAAAUAUCCAUUUCGUCGCCUUUUACGGCGAGAUAUGAUCAGAGCAUUGACGACGAUUACAGGAUAAGAAGAAAAAAACGAUUCUACGAUGGCCAAGUAUUUCGGUGCUUCUUUGGGAUUCGGAAUCGGGGGAUUAUUGUUGCUGGUGGC